rnacentral:tRNA from 1 species
CGGAAUGUAGCGCAGUCUGGUAGCGUACUAAGUUCGGGACUUAGGGGUCGGAGGUUCAAAUCCUCUCAUUCCGACCA